ensembl:lncRNA
CCCAGGGGCGCAGAGAAGGGGUGGCUGUGAAGCGGGGCUGGGAGAUUAUUUUAAGUGAGAGAGAGAGAGAGAGAGAGAGAGAAAGACAGAAAGAAUCUCAAGCAGGCUCCACACUGUCAAUGCAGAGCCGGAUGCAGGGCUCGAACUCACGAAACCAUGAGAUCAUAACCUGAGCCGAAACCAAGCGCGGGGGUGCUUCAUGGACUGAAGCGCCCGGGGAAGGGGUGGCUGUGAGUGGGGACUGAAGAACUUGAGGGGCCUCUACUGCAGUCCCGAUGCCAGGCAGUGGUGGCUGCCCCCAGGGCACCGGUGACAGAGACAGAAGGAGAAGGGUGCAGCCUCACAGUCACAGGUGGGUCCUAAAGCAUGGCCGGUGGGUCGACGGUGCACGGGAGGGCAGGGCUUCGCGGGGGCUCUAAACACAGCGCUUGGCAGCUUGUCACUUCCGCCGCAGUUACGCAACUAAGCUCACCCUUCCCGAUGGCUCCUUGGUCCCUCGCCACACGGGAGUGUGCAGAUUUGGACACACCUGAGUCCUCUCAGGGGUACACAGGAAGUACGUGGCAUGCACUCCAUGAAAAGAAGAUGGAAAUAAUUUUCCAGGUAAUGAGAAAGGGAGAUGGUAUGUACUUUCAACGGCACAGAGAAUAUUCCCUCUUGUGUGAACUCAAGACAGCCCCUCGGCAGAGUCACCAUUUCUGACGGCUAUGCCAAUGCAGAGCAAGAAGCUUUUUUUUUUAAUGUUUGUUUAAUUUUGAGAGCGAGAGAGACAGAAUGAGUGGGGGAGGAACAGAGAGAGAGAGAGAGAGAGAGAGAGAGAGAGAGAGAGAGAGGGAGACACAGAAUCCCAAGCAGGCUCCAGGCUCUGAGCUGUAGAUCCCAACGAAGGGGCUGGAACUCACGCACUGCAAGAUUUUUUUUCUUUUUUUUUGCCACAUGACCAAAGUAUUUAUUCACUUCCUCAUCUUACAACAUUUAGGCAGCAACUGCACUAGAUACAGCAAUACAGAGAUAAAUAGGACACAGCCCAGAAACGACUGAAUCCGCCUGCAGUCUUGAUAUUAUGCCCAUCAGUCCUUGAGGGAAACAUAUUCGGUAUCAUCAUCUACAAAAUCAGAAUAGGAACAGCGAGAUCUUGACCUGAGCUGAAGUUGGAAGCUUAACCGACUGAGCCACGCAGGCACCCCAAUGGCUUUUCCUAAUGUAUUAAAGUAGUCACUGUCAUCAAAGUAACACCUCGAAGUAAGUUGAAAACACCUUCCAUCAUAUCCACCCCUCCCCCACCAUCCAUUCUUGUCUUCUCGUCGCAGCUUCGAGAUUCUCUUUGGCAGACUCACCCCUCUUCCCUGGGUUUCGCCCUUAGCGGGACUGGUGUGCUAACUACAGUAAGGUAGGGCAGUCAGGUGCUCUGUCUCUGUGGUAGGGAGAUUCUGUCCAGAGUCAGCCUGGUUCAAGCCGAAUCGGAGUGCCGUGAAGAGAUCAAAGCAGGCUUUGGGGACAGAGGUCAAGGAGAGAGGGGGACAGACAGGGGGGCUAGGGAAGACCUUAUAAGGUGGUGACGUUGAAGCUGAGACACAGAUGCCGUGAAGGAGAAAGCCAUCGUGAAGGUUUGGGGACAGAGUGUCUCGGACACAGGCUAGGACACAUGUAAAGGCUUUGAGAUGGGAACCAGCUUGGACGCUCCAGGAGGAGCAGGGAGGCCAGGGCAGGCGAGCCUUAGGACGUCAAGUCAGCAAGAGACGCAGAGGCCCCGUAGUGCUUUUGAGUCCCUGGGGAGGAGUUUGGCUAUUAUUUGGAGCAAAACAGGAAACCACGGGACAGUGUUGCAGACAAGGGUCACGUGAUCAGGUUCACGGUUUAGAAAUACCACUCCGAGAUCCAAGGAGAAGAAAGGGAAGGAGCAGAGAGCAGCAGUGAAGAUGAGAGGAAGUGGGCCGGUGCACGAUCUGUUCUGGAGGAGCUCAUGGGGCUUGGAGGCUGGACAGGAAGGAAGAAGGGAGGCAGGACGCCUUCUAGCUGUUGGGCCCGGGCAGCUGGCUGAACGGUGGCGCCACUAAUCAAGACGGCAGAGUGAGGGAAGAGAGGUGGUGGAGGGUACGGUUCUGUUUCGGAUAUGUUAAAUUUGAGAUCUUUGUGGACAUCCCAGAAGAAAUAUGAAGGGCAGGCCAGUCUGCAGCUCCAGGGGGAGGUUGCGCUAGAUAUAAAGCCAUUUGUUUAUAGAGGAUAAUACUUAAAAACAGUUUUUUACCUUUAUUCAUUUUUGAGAGACAGAGGGCAAGCAGCGGAGGGGCAGAGAGAGAGGGAGACAUAGAAUCUGAAGCAGGCUCCAGGAGCUGCACUGUCAGCACAGAGCCCGACAUGGGGCUCGAACUCAGGAACCAUGAGAUCAUGGCCUGAGCCAAAGUUGGCCACGCAACAGACUGAGCCACCCAGGCAACCUGAGCCCAUUCUUUAGCUAGAAGCAUAGGACCCUGGACGAGAACCUUAGAGGUUGGCCAGACCGCUCUCUAUCCAGCGCUGAGUUUUCAGUUUCUGCUUAAAUGCUUCCAGUGCUAGGGAGCUCAAUGCGAAAACUAAGCCCACUGACCCAAUCUGAGGAGGGAUGCGGAGACUCAGAGCACCAUGAAGCGAGGCUUUCUGCAAGAGCAGGUGUCUGACGGACAGGCACACUCCAGGCGGUUACAGCAGACACUUUAUCUCCUAGUGUGCAAGGGUCUCCCCUGCUUCCUCACUGGCCGAGAACUACUCGGUUACAGUCGUAUUUGGACGUCACCUAUACCCAUGGAAGGCAAAAAGUAGUGUGGAACAAAUGUACAUUCCCUGAGGUGACACACAGACUUCAGUCCCUCCUCCCUUUAUUCUCUGGCGCAUGCUCAUUACAAAGCCGUGAAAAUAAGCCCUUGAAACAGGGAGGGGAAGAAGAACCAGGAAGUGAAGUGUCUAAAGGUUUAGGACCUUACUUGGGCGGUGGGAUGUUCAUAUUUCCAGCAGGUUCUAAACCUGUUCACUGGACAGCACAGCCUUUAUUUAGUAUUUCUGAAAAUGAAUCAUCUCCCUCGCUUCUCACACUCAAUACGUUGUAAGACAAAAAGUCCUAGGAGUGCUAGCCUCUAUUCUUUAAAGAGUGAAAAAUUAUCCUUUAUUGAACAAAAGUCUUCCCAGGAUGCUCAACUGUCCCUCAGCAACCCCCCUGCCCUUGCUUGUAAUAAGAAUGCUGCUUCUGGCCACAGCACCCCCUGCACGGACGGCUGCAUCGGUUCUAGAACAUUGGAGGGUUUGGGGGGAGCUCUGUCAGUCCCAGGAGACAAGGCCAGAAAUGCCACCCAAGUAGUUGGAUCAGGAGAGAUUUGAGGGUUGUUUCUCUGCAACCACUUAUCUCUGACCUUGCUAGUUGGCUUCCAUCAGAGCCUGAGGGCUGUCAGCCUGUCUGUCUGUCUGAACCCAACGGUAAACAUGCUUCCUCUUUUUUUUUUUUUUUUUGUUAGCCUACAUUUAGGUCAGUAGAUGUAAACUCCACUUAAUAUUAAGUCAGUAAUUUCAUGGGAUUAAGUUGCAACCUAGCCGUAGAUGCACCAAACUAUUUCCUUGUAAAUGAAUCUCCUGAAUGUAAACCACAUCCCAGAGGCUGCCACAGACAGGUGAUCCCAGAGCUGGUGGAGAGGCAGAUCUCAGAACGCAGUGUAGAUGCUACUCUGCUAAGAAUCUUUGGGAAUUGACCACAGGCCUAGGAGAGAAUGUUCUCAUUCUUCUAAAGAAAGAGGAUUCAUGCAUCAUUUAUCCCAACCUCUAAAGAGUGCAAUGCUUAAUAGAAAUAGUUCUUGGGGUGCCUCGGUGGCUCAGUCGGUUAAACUGCCGAACUCAGGUCAGGUCAUGAUCUCAAGGUGUAUGGGUUCAAGGCCCACGUUAGGCUCUGUGCUGACAACUCAGAGCCUGGAGUCUGCUUCAGAUUCCGUGUCUCUCUCUCUCUCUGCCCCUCCCCUGCUGGCAUGCUGUCACUCUCUG